rnacentral:rRNA from 1 species
AUGCAGAUCAUGGCCCACCUGGCCAGGGAGUGCCUGCAGUGGGACCCCGAGGCCAGGCCCACCAUGACCGAAGUCGUCCAGAUCCUCUCCACCAUCGCGCCCCUCGCCGACAAGCGCCGUCGCCACCACCUGCCCGCCGCCGCCGGCGCCUUCGCCCCGGGCUUCCACGCCGAGAGGCCGCGGGAAUGCUCAGUGUGGCAGGACGACGACGACUACGGCCAUCGCCGCGAUCACCUGCACGGAGGGAACGGCAGCAAUGCCAAGGGCGCCGUCUUGUCCGGAGAGGUCACGGUUAACGUCGGGAUGCCAGUGACGAUGAUGACGACGAUGGGGCGGAGCUGGCGGUCGGCGGAGCAGGAGGAGGUGGACCUGACGGAGCCGCGGCUGGAGACGUUCACGGAGCCGACGACGACAGCCAGCCCCUUCAGGUGA